rnacentral:rRNA from 1 species
CAGUAGCCACGGGAAUACGGAGGGGGCUAGCGUUGUUCGGAAUUACUGGGCGUAAAGCGCACGUAGGCGGCUUGGUAAGUUAGAGGUGAAAGCCCGGAGCCCAACUCCGGAAUUGCCUUUAAGACUGCCGAGCUAGUAGGUGAGAGAGGUAAGUGGAAUUCCGAGUGUAGAGGUGAAAUUCGUAGAUAUUCGGAAGAACACCAGUGGCGAAGGCGGCUUACUGGCUCAUUCUAGACGCUGAGGUGCGAAAGCGUGGGGAGCAAACAGGAUUAGAUACCCCCGUAGUCCCUGUCUCUUAUAC